GAUGGACGCUGGCGGCGUGCCUAAUACAUGCAAGUCGAGCGAACAGACGAGGAGCUUGCUCCUCUGACGUUAGCGGCGGACAGGUGAGUAACACGUGGAUAACCUACCUAUAAGACUGGGAUAACUUCGGGAAACCGGAGCUAAUACCGGAUAAUAUAUUGAACCGCAUGGUUCAAUAGUGAAAGACGGUUUUGCUGUCACUUAUAGAUGGAUCCGCGCCGCAUUAGCUAGUUGGUAAGGUAACGGCUUACCAAGGCAACGAUGCGUAGCCGACCUGAGAGGGUGAUCGGCCAGACUGGAACUGAGACACGGUCCAGACUCCUACGGGAGGCAGCAGUAGGGAAUCUUCCGCAAUGGGCGAAAGCCUGACGGAGCAACGCCGCGUGAGUGAUGAAGGUCUUCGGAUCGUAAAACUCUGUUAUUAGGGAAGAACAAAUGUGUAAGUAACUAUGCACGUCUUGACGGUACCUAAUCAGAAAGCCACGGCUAACUACGUG
rnacentral:rRNA from 1 species